rnacentral:rRNA from 1 species
UACGGAGGGUGCAAGCGUUAUCCGGAUUCACUGGGUUUAAAGGGAGCGUAGGAGGGCAGGUAAGUCAGUGGUGAAAUCUUCGAGCUUAACUCGGAAACUGCCGUUGAUACUAUCUGUCUUGAAUACCGUGGAGAUGAGCGGAAUAUGUCAUGUAGCGGUGAAAUGCUUAGAUAUGACAUAGAACACCGAUUGCGAAGGCAGCUCGUUACACGAAUAUUGACUCUGAGGCUCGAAAGCGUGGGGAUCAAACAGGAUUAGAAACCCCCGUAGUCC